GUUUGACCUCAAAUCAGGUAGGACUACCCGCUGAACUUAAGCAUAUCAAUAAGCGGAGGAAAAGAAACCAACAGGGAUUGCCUCAGUAACGGCGAGUGAAGCGGCAAAAGCUCAAAUUUGAAAUCUAGCACCUUCGGUGUUCGAGUUGUAAUUUGAAGAUGGUAACCUUGGGUUUGGCUCUUGUCUAUGUUCCUUGAAACAGGACGUCAUAGAGGGUGAGAAUCCCGUCUGAUGAGAUGCCCAUUCCUAUGUAAGGUGCUAUCGAAGAGUCGAGUUGUUG
rnacentral:rRNA from 1 species